rnacentral:rRNA from 1 species
AUUGAACGCUGGCGGCAUGCCUUACACAUGCAAGUCGAACGGCAGCACGGGUGCUUGCACCUGGUGGCGAGUGGCGAACGGGUGAGUAAUACAUCGGAACGUACCUUAUCGUGGGGGAUAACGCAGCGAAAGCUGUGCUAAUACCGCAUACGCCCUGAGGGGGAAAGCGGGGGAUCGCAAGACCUCGCGCGAUUAGAGCGGCCGAUGCCUGAUUAGCUUGUUGGUGGGGUAAAAGCCCACCAAGGCGACGAUCAGUAGCGGGUCUGAGAAGACGAUCAGCCACACUGCGACUGAGAGACGGCGCAGACUCCUACGGGAGGCAGCAGUUGGGAAUUUUGGACAAUGGGGGCAACCCUGAUCCAGCAAUGCCGCGUGAGUGAAGAAGGCCUUCGGGUUGUAAAGCUCUUUUGUCAGGGAAGAAACACCGGCUCUAACACAGUCCGGGAAUGACGGUACCUGAAGAAUAAGCACCGGCUAACUACGUGCCAGCCGCCGCAGUAA